rnacentral:rRNA from 1 species
GACGAACGCUGGCGGCGUGCUUAACACAUGCAAGUCGAACGGAAAGGCCCUGCUUUUGUGGGGUGCUCGAGUGGCGAACGGGUGAGUAACACGUGAGUAACCUGCCCUUGACUUUGGGAUAACUUCAGGAAACUGGGGCUAAUACCGGAUAGGAGCUCCUGCUGCAUGGUGGGGGUUGGAAAGUUUCGGCGGUUGGGGAUGGACUCGCGGCUUAUCAGCUUGUUGGUGGGGUAGUGGCUUACCAAGGCUUUGACGGGUAGCCGGCCUGAGAGGGUGACCGGCGACAUGGGGACUGAGAUACGGCCCAGACUCCUACGGGAGGCAGCAGGGGGGAAUCUUGCACAAUGGGCGGAAGCCUGAUGCAGCAACGCCGCGGGCGGGAUGACGGCCUUCGGGUUGUAAACCGCAUUCGCCUGUGACGAAGCGUGAGUGACGGUAAUGGGUAAAGAAGCACCGGCUAACUACGUG